rnacentral:rRNA from 1 species
GACGAACGCUGGCGGCGUGCUUAACACAUGCAAGUCGAACGGAAAGGCCCUGCUUUUGUGGGGUGCUCGAGUGGCGAACGGGUGAGUAACACUUGAGUAACCUGCCCUUGACUUUGGGAUAACUUCAGGAAACUGGGGCUAAUACCGGAUAGGAGCUCCUGCUUCAUGGUGGGGGUUGGAAAGUUUCGGCGGUUGGGGAUGGACUCGCGGCUUAUCAGCUUGUUGGUGGGGUAGUGGCUUACCAAGGCUUUGACGGGUAGCCGGCCUGAGAGGGUGACCGGCCAAAUUGGGACUGAGAUACGGCCCAGACUACUACGGGAGGCAGCAGUGGGGAAUAUUGCACAAUGGGCGGAAGCCUGAUGCAGCAACGCCGCGUGCGGGAUGACGGCCUUCGGGUUGUAAACCGCUUUCGCCUGUGACGAAGCGUGAGUGACGGUAAUGGGUAAAGAAGCACCGGCUAACUACGUG